rnacentral:rRNA from 2 species
GAAGCAACGCGAAGAACCUUACCAGGUCUUGACAUCCCGUUGACCACUGUAGAGAUAUGGUUUUCCCUUCGGGGACAACGGUGACAGGUGGUGCAUGGUUGUCGUCAGCUCGUGUCGUGAGAUGUUGGGUUAAGUCCCGCAACGAGCGCAACCCUUGAUCUUAGUUGCCAUCAUUUAGUUGGGCACUCUAAGGUGACUGCCGGUGACAAACCGGAGGAAGGUGGGGAUGACGUCAAAUCAUCAUGCCCCUUAUGACCUGGGCUACACACGUGCUACAAUGGACGAUACAAACGGUUGCCAACUCGCGAGAGGGAGCUAAUCCGAUAAAGUCGUUCUCAGUUCGGAUUGUAGGCUGCAACUCGCCUACAUGAAGCCGGAAUCGCUAGUAAUCGCGGAUCAGC